GACGAACGCUGGCGGCGUGCUUAACACAUGCAAGUCGAGCGGAAAGGCCCUUUCGGGGGUACUCGAGCGGCGAACGGGUGAGUAACACGGGAGUAAUCUGCCCCUGGCUUUGGGAUAGCCACCGGAAACGGUGAUUAAUACCGGAUACGACCACUUCUCGCAUGGGAUGGUGGUGGAAAGUUUUUCGGCCAGGGAUGUUCUCGCGGCCUAUCAGCUUGAUGGUGAGGUAAUGGCUCACCAUGGCUUCGACGGGUAGCCGGCCUGAGAGGGUGACCGGUCACACUGGGACUGAGACACGGCCCAGACUCCUACGGGAGGCAGCAGUGGGGAAUAUUGGACAAUGGGCGGAAGCCUGAUCCAGCAACGACGCGUGAGGGAUGACGGCCUUCGGGUUGUAAACCUCCUUCAGCAGGGACGAAGCGCAAGUGACGGUACCUGCAGAAGAAGCACCGGCCAACUACGUGCCAGCCGCCGCCGUAA
rnacentral:rRNA from 1 species